CGAAAGCCUGACGGASCAAUYCCGCGUGAGGGAGGAAGGCUCUUGGGUUGUAAMCCUCUUUUCUCAGGGAAGAAAAAAAUNACGGUACCUGAGGAAUAAGCAUCGGCUAACUCCGUGCCAGCAGCCGCGGUAAUACGGAGGAUGCAAGCGUUAUCCGGAAUGAUUGGGCGUAAAGGGUCCGCAGGUGGCAUUGUAAGUCUGCUGUUAAAGAGUUUGGCUCAACCAAAUAARAGCAGUGGAAACUACAAAGCUAGAGUGUGGUCGGGGCAGAGGGAAUUCCUGGUGUAGCGGUGAAAUGCGUAGAUAUCAGGAAGAACACCAGUGGCGAAGGCGCUCUGCUAGGCCGAGACUGACA
rnacentral:rRNA from 1 species